rnacentral:rRNA from 1 species
CCUACGGGCGGCUGCAGUGAGGAAUAUUGGUCAAUGGACGAGAGUCUGAACCAGCCAAGUAGCGUGAAGGAUGACUGCCCUAUGGGUUGUAAACUUCUUUUAUAUGGGAAUACAAAGUUCAACGUGUGGGAUGUUGUAGGUACCAUAUGAAUAAGGAUCGGGUAAAUCCGUGCCAGCCUCCGCGGUAAUACGGAGGAUCCGAGCGUUAUCCUGAUUUAUUGGGUUUAAAUGGGGGGUAGGUGGAUUGGUAAGUCAGUUGUGAAAGUUUGCGGGUCAACCGUAAAAUUGCAGUUGAAACUGGCAGUCUUGAGUACAGUAGAGGUGGGCGGAAUUCGUGGUGUAGCGGUGAAAUGCUUAGAUAUCACGAAGAACUCCGAUUGCGAAGGCAGCUCACUGGACUGCAACUGACACUGAGGCUCGAAAGUGUGGGUAUCAAACAGGAUUAGAUACCCUUGUAGUC